GUGGUGUAGUUGGCCUAACAUGCCUGCCUGUCACGCAGGAGAUCGCGGGUUCGAAUCCCGUCGGUUCCGCCAUCUUUAUCGGUCGCCUCCUAAAGAGUAACGGAGGCGUUCAAAGGUUCCCUCAGAAUGGUUGGAAAUCAUUCGCAGAGUGCAAAGGCAUAAGGGAGCUUGACUGCGAGACCUACAAGUCGAGCAGGGACGAAAGUCGGACUUAGUGAUCCGGUGGUACCGCAUGGAAGGGCCAUCGCUCAACGGAUAAAAGCUACCCUGGGGAUAACAGGCUUAUCUCCCCCAAGAGUCCACAUCGACGGGGAGGUUUGGCACCUCGAUGUCGGCUCAUCGCAUCCUGGGGCUGAAGUAGGUCCCAAGGGUUGGGCUGUUCGCCCAUUAAAGCGGUACGCGAGCUGGGUUCAGAACGUCGUGAGACAGUUCGGUCCCUAUCUGUCGUGGGCGCAGGAAAUUUGAGAGGAGCUGUCCUUAGUACGAGAGGACCGGGAUGGACGUACCGCUGGUGCAUCAGUUGUUCCGCCAGGAGCAUGGCUGAGUAGCUACGUACGGACGGGAUAAGCGCUGAAAGCAUCUAAGCGUGAAGCCCCCCUCAAGAUGAGAUUUCCCAAUUAGUAAGACCCCUUGAAGACGACGAGGUAGAUAGGUUGGAGGUGGAAGUGCAGCAAUGCAUGGAGCUGACCAAUACUAAUCGGUCGA
rnacentral:ncRNA from 1 species